CCAAAUUUGGAUAAGAUCUGGUUUUAUUUGGUAUGUUCAAAUGUGAUUUGAAAUUAGAUACCACAUAGAUAAUGUUUGACAUUAUCUACAACCUUACCACCCACUUCCCUUAAAAUCUUUUCUUUUGUGUGACAAAUAGAGAGAUAUGGGGUGUGGGACAUCAAAAAAGAAUUAGAAUUAUCAUAGAUAAUUAUGGGAAGGGG
rnacentral:lncRNA from 1 species